CCUACGGGCGGCAGCAGUGGGGAAUAUUGGACAAUGGGCGAAAGCCUGAUCCAGCCAUGCCGCGUGUGUGAAGAAGGACUUCGGGUUGUAAAGCACUUUCAGUGGGGAAGAAAGCCUUGGGGCUAAUACCCUCGAGGAAGGACAUCACCCACAGAAGAAGCACCGGCUAACUCCGUGCCAGCAGCCGCGGUAAUACGGAGGGUGCGAGCGUUAAUCGGAAUUACUGGGCGUAAAGCGCGCGUAGGCGGUCUGAUAAGCCGGUUGUGAAAGCCCCGGGCUCAACCUGGGAACGGCAUCCGGAACUGUCAGGCUAGAGUGCAGGAGAGGAAGGUAGAAUUCCCGGUGUAGCGGUGAAAUGCGUAGAGAUCGGGAGGAAUACCAGUGGCGAAGGCGGCCUUCUGGACUGACACUGACGCUGAGGUGCGAAAGCGUGGGUAGCAAACAGGAUUAGAUACCCCUGUAGUC
rnacentral:rRNA from 1 species